UACGUAGGGCGCAAGCGUUUAUCCGGAAUUAUUGGGCGUAAAGAGCUCGUAGGCGGUUUGUUGCGUCUGCUGUGAAAACCCGAGGCUCAACCUCGGGCCUGCAGUGGGUACGGGCAAACUAGAGUGCGGUAGGGGAGAUUGGAAUUCCUGGUGUAGCGGUGGAAUGCGCAGAUAUCAGGAGGAACACCGAUGGCGAAGGCAGAUCUCUGGGCCGUAACUGACGCUGAGGAGCGAAAGCGUGGGGAGCGAACAGG
rnacentral:rRNA from 1 species